rnacentral:rRNA from 1 species
AGAGUUUGAUCAUGGCUCAGAUUGAACGCUGGCGGCAGGCCUAACACAUGCAAGUCGAGCGGCAGCGGGAAAGUAGCUUGCUACUUUUGCCGGCGAGCGGCGUGAC